rfam:Capsicum annuum cultivar Zunla-1 chromosome 8, whole genome shotgun sequence
UGCAAGGAUCUAUUAAGAUCUACCAAACAUAGCUUAAAAAAAUCUC